UACGAAGGGGGCUAGCGUUGUUCGGAUUUACUGGGCGUAAAGCGCACGUAGGCGGAUUGUUAAGUCGGGGGUGAAAUCCUGGAGCUCAACUCCAGAAUUGCCUUCGAUACUGGCUUUCUAGAGGCUGGAAGAGGUUAGUGGAAUUCCCAGUGUAGAGGUGAAAUUCGUAGAUAUUAGGAAGAACACCAGUGGCGAAGGCGGCUCACUGGCCCGGUACUGACGCUGAGGUGCGAAAGCGUGGGGAGCAAACAGG
rnacentral:rRNA from 1 species